rnacentral:rRNA from 1 species
GACGAACGCUGGCGGCGUGCUUAACACAUGCCAGUCGAACGGAAAGGCCCUGCUUUUGUGGGGUGCUCGAGUGGCGAACGGGUGAGUAACACGUGAGUAACCUGCCCUUGACUUUGGGAUAACUUCAGGAAACUGGGGCUAAUACCGGAUAGGAGCUCCUGCUGCAUGGUGGGGGUUGGAAAGUUUCGGCGGUUGGGGAUGGACUCGCGGCUUAUCAGCUUGUUGGUGGGGUAGUGGCUUACCAAGGCUUUGACGGGUAGCCGGCCUGAGAGGGUGACCGGCCACAUUGGGACUGAGAUACGGCCCAGACGCCUACGGGAGGCAGCAGUGGGGAAUAUUGCACAAUGGCGGAAGCCUGAUGCAGCAACGCCGCGUGCGGGAUGACGGCCUUCGGGUUGUAAACCGCUUUCGCCUGUGACGAAGCGUGAGUGACGGUAAUGGGUAAAGAAGCACCGGCUAACUACGUG